rnacentral:piRNA from 1 species
UGGGUGACAUCAACUUGAUACGAGGGC